GACGAACGCUGGCGGCGUGCUUAACACAUGCAAGUCGAACGGAAAGGCCCUGCUUUUGUGGGGUGCUCGAGUGGCGAACGGGUGAGUAACACGUGAGUAACCUGCCCUUGACUUUGGGAUAACUUCAGGAAACUGGGGCUAAUACCGGAUAGGAGCUCCUGCUGCAUGGUGGGGGUUGGAAAGUUUCGGCGGUUGGGGAUGGACUCGCGGCUUAUCAGCUUGUUGGUGGGGUAGUGGCUUACCAAGGCUUUGACGGGUAGCCGGCCUGAGAGGGUGACCGGCCACAUUGGGACUGGGGUACGGCCCAGACUCCUACGGGAGGCAGCAGUGGGGAAUAUUGCGCAAUGGGCGGAAGCCUGAUGCAGCAACGCCGCGUGCGGGAUGACGGCCUUCGGGUUGUAAACCGCUUUCGCCUGUGACGAAGCGUGAGGGACGGGAAUGGGUAAAGAAACACCGGCGAACUACGU
rnacentral:rRNA from 1 species